rnacentral:tRNA from 1 species
GGGGUGUAGUGGCUAUCAAGUAUCACGUGUCAUUUGCAUUGACAAGGUCCCGGGUUCAAACCCCGCCAGCUUCA